CCCGCUGCGGGGCUGCCCCGGGCCCGGCGGGACGGCGGCCGCGCUGUCGCUGCUGCGUGUGCUUGUGCCGACGGCCGUGGUUCAGUUGGGCUCGCAGGUAGAUGAGCCUCCGGGGUGCUGAGGGUGCUGUUCUCUGGACGACACGGGGCAGCGGGGACAAGCUGGAACACGAGAGGUUACAAAGAAACACAAAGAAAUUGUUGACGGUGGUGGGUGUAAGUGAUGAAAAAAGGCUCAGAAACUCCGUUGUGGGAACCUGUGAAAUCCCUGGAGAUCCUGAGAACGUCCUCAUCCCCUCCAUUGGAAGGACCCUGAAGAAAUCACAUCAGUAGCGUGUCUUAUUUAUGUAUUACGAUUUGUGAGGCUGCACCGUGUCCUGAGCUUGUUGAGGGUAUCGGUAAACCUGGCCAGCAGCUUGUUGUGUUUGUGUUUUUGAAGGGCAGCAGAGAGGCGC